rnacentral:rRNA from 1 species
UACGGAGGGUGCGAGCGUUGUCCGGAAUCACUGGACGUAAAGGGCGCGUAGGCGGCCUGAUAAGUAGGGGGUGAAAUCCUGCGGCUUAACCGCAGGGCUGCCUUCUAAACUGUCAGGCUCGAGCACAGUAGAGGCAGGUGGAAUUCCCGGUGUAGCGGUGGAAUGCGUAGAGAUCGGGAAGAACAUCAGUGGCGAAGGCGGCCUGCUGGGCUGUUGCUGACGCUGAGACGCGAAAGCGUGGGUAGCAAACAGG